AGUGAACGCUGGCGGUAGGCCUAACACAUGCAAGUCGAACGGCAGCACAGUAAUAGCUUGCUCUUACGGGCGGCGAGUGGCGGACGGGUGAGGAAUACAUCGGAAUCUACUUUUUCGUGGGGGAUAACGUAGGGAAACUUACGCUAAUACCGCAUACGACCUACGGGUGAAAGCAGGGGAUCUUCGGACCUUUCGCGAUUGAAUGAGCCGAUGUCGGAUUAGCUAGUUGGCGGGGUAAAGGCCCACCAAGGCGACGAUCCGUAGCUGGUCUGAGAGGAUGAUCAGCCACACUGGAACGGAGACACGGUACAGACUCCUACGGGAGGCAGCAGUGGGGAAUAUUGGACAAUGGGCGCAAGACUGAUCCAGCCAUACCGCGUGGGAGAAGAAGGCCUUCGGGUUGGAAAGCCCGUUUGUUGGGAAAGAAAAGCAGCAGGUUAAUACCCAGCUGUUCUGACGGUACCCAAAGAAUAAGCACCGGCUAACUUCGUG
rnacentral:rRNA from 1 species